rnacentral:rRNA from 1 species
AUUGAACGCUGGCGGCAGGCUUAACACAUGCAAGUCGAGCGAGCGGCGGACGGGUGAGUAAUGUCUGGGAAACUGCCUGAUGGAGGGGGCUAACUACUGGAAACGGUAGCUAAUACCGCAUACCAUCAGAUGUGCCCAGAUGGGAUUAGCUAGUAGGUGGGGUAAUGGCUCACGUAGGCGACUCUCCAGAACUGGUCUGAGCGGAGGACCAGCCACAAGGGAACUGAGACAAGGUCCAGACUCCUACGGGAGGCAGCAGUGGGGAAUAUUGCACAAUGGGCGCAAGCCUGAUGCAGCCAUGCCGCGUGUGGGAAGAAGGCCUGCGGGUUGUAAAGCACUUUCAGCGAGGAGGCGUUACUCGCAGAAGAAGCACCGGCUAACUCCGUGCCAGCAGCCGCGGUAAUAC